ACGAAAACUUGCGGAUACUGUGGCAGAUCAACCGGGCUGGUCCAUCUUAUAUAGUUGAGAAGGGUUGGACGGUCGACCUUAUAACUCCAUUAUGGCAAUUCGUCGUGCAGAGGGGGGAAAUGAUGAUCCUAGUACAACAGGUAUUUGAAGGCAAUGCAUGCUCAAGAUUCAAAAGAUUUCAGCCCAAAUCCGGGAAUGGCGAUUGCAGGCGGAUUACGGGAUAAGUGAUGCUCUUUUCUAGAUGGAAGAGUACGACGUAAGCCGCUCUGAAUAAAAAGCCAUUUCAAGUUUGAGCUUUCAAUCCAUAUUUUGAAAGGCAUUGACGCUUUUCACGGGAUUUGAGUUCAAGGUAGAACGUUUCGUUUGCGGACAUGCCCUUGGAUCUUAGAAUCACGCUCCAGAAAAGAGGACCUAUUUCUAUCUGGGUGUGCGCGGAAAACGGAGAAUGAGGAAAAGAAGUUCGUGCCGUUUAAAACAUUUCCGGAAUGUCGACCGUACGUGGUUUAAAGAAUAGGUAGGGGUUAUAAAACAACACGUACGGAUGUUUCCAGCAGGGAAACUAGCCUUCUUCGAGUCAUUGGUUUAAUGCCCAUAAACUGAUUGUGAUUUGAAAAUUUGAUUCACUGUACAUUUUGUCCCAUGGAUGAGGCUGCUAAGGUAUGUUGGAGCAUGACUAAAUGGGUCUAUAUAGUGUGGUUUUAUGUGU